GACGAACGCUGGCGGCGUGCUUAACACAUGCAAGUCGAACGAUGAACCGGAGUUUGCUCCGGGGAUUAGUGGCGAACGGGUGAGUAACACGUGGGCAACCUGCCCCAGACACCGGGAUAACCUUCCGAAGGAUGGCUAAUACCGGAUACGACCACUUCGGGCAUCCGACGGUGGUGGAAAGGAUUCUGGUCUGGGAUGGGCCCGCGGCCUAUCAGCUUGUUGGUGGGGUAAUGGCCUACCAAGGCGACGACGGGUAGCCGGCCUGAGAGGGCGACCGGCCACACUGGGACUGAGACACGGCCCAGACUCCUACGGGAGGCAGCAGUGGGGAAUAUUGCGCAAUGGGCGAAAGCCUGAUCCAGCCAUCCCGCGUGAAGGAUGAAGGCCCUCUGGGUCGUAAACUUCUUUUAUCUGGGAUAAAAACUCGUAUUUAUAUGAGCUUGAAGGUACCAGAGGAAUAAGCACCGGCUAACUCCGUGCCAGCAGCCGCGGUAAU
rnacentral:rRNA from 1 species